AGUUAAAUUAAACUAAUAAUCUUCAAAAUUAUUUAUAAAGAAAUUCUUUAAGCCUUA
rnacentral:tRNA from 1 species